rnacentral:misc_RNA from 1 species
CUUCUAUUUACAAUUUCAAUUUUCCAGAAAAAUUCUUGUGAAGAAAUUCAAAGAAAUGGCUUCUAAGACGCAAAUUUUGUCUCUGUACAAAUCGCUUUUGAGAGAAUCGGAGAAAUUUCCUAACUACAACUUCAGAUCGUACGCAAUUAGGAGAGUAAGGGAUGCCUUCAAAGAGAAGAAGACAAUCACAGAUCAGAAACAAGCGAAGAAGGAAAUUGAAUAUGCGAAAGAAAAUCUCGCAAUAAUUCAAAGACAGACCUCAAUCGGGAACAUGUUCAAAACAGAGAAACUCGUCAUAGAGAAUACGCGAUAAUCAAAAUGGCUUCCGAAAAUGACCUUCAACGACAUAAUAUAAGUUAUUGACUUGAAUACCUAGAACUACGAAAAUGGAGGUCCUUUGUUUAAAGUUGCACGAAUUUCUAUUAUUUCGGCGGAAUCAACAAGGAUAGCAAAUAGACAUACAAUAAGUGUGAGUGAGACAACAUCAUACAAUAAAUACAAUAGGACGAUUGGCAGCCGGGUGAACUUUCAGUCAGUUUGCCACUUUCAUCUUCAACGUGCGCACGCGCUUUUCUCUGUUCUGAGACUCUAUCCUGUUCAUUCUGUUGUAUUUGUUACCACUGUUGAGUUUGUUAAUAUUCCUCUUGAGUUUGUUAGUAUUUUUGUUGACUUUGUUAGUGUUAUUGUUGAAUUUGUUGUUGUUGUCUUGGCAAGAUCUUGGUGCCAGGCAAUGUUUUUUGUUGUGGUGUAAGCACUGUUCGUGGCCCGCGCCGAAGAUCUCGGCGUCCUAUACAGUCUUACUUGACAACUGAAGAUUAUAUUGCUAGGCACCCCAACAUCCUGAAUUAUGCUCGCCACUUAUUUGACGAUCGAGAGCUAAGUAAUCUUAUUUGAACAUUGCAAAAAUUAAAAAUCUCAGUAUGCAGUGUAUCUGGUAUCUAUAUUAUAGUCCUUGGUCAGUAUAAUACAUAAAAUGACAAUGUAUAAUUCGGCUCGUUUCUCAAUCGUGCUUUUCAUAAUCGAAAUGUCAUAUGAA